GACGAACGCUGGCGGCGUGCUUAACACAUGCAAGUCGAGCGAGGCCCUGUUCUUCGGAGCAGGUGCCCUAGCGGCGAACGGGUGAGUAACACGUGGGCAAUCUGCCCCUAGCACUGGGAUAACUCCGGGAAACCGGGGCUAAUACCGGAUAUGACCUUCGAAGGCAUCUUCGUUGGUGGAAAGGAUCCUGGCUAGGGAUGAGCCCGCGGCCUAUCAGCUUGUUGGUGGGGUAACGGCCCACCAAGGCGACGACGGGUAGCCGGCCUGAGAGGGCGAC
rnacentral:rRNA from 1 species